CUCCAGAUGUUGCUGAACUACAACUCCCAUGAUUCUCAACCUAUUUCAUUCAUAGAAUCAUUGGAGUUGUAGUUCAGCAACAUCUAGAG
rnacentral:miRNA from 1 species